UACGUAGGGUGCAAGCGUUGUCCGGAUUCACUGGGUGUAAAGGGAGCGCAGGCGGGUUUUCAAGUCAUUGGUGAAAUUCUCAGGCUCAACCUGGGGACUGCCAAUGAUACUGGAGAUCUUGAGUGCAGAAGAGGAAGACGGAAUUCCUGGUGUAGCGGUGAAAUGCGUAGAUAUCAGGAAGAACACCGGUGGCGAAGGCGGUCUUCUGGUCUGCAACUGACGCUCAUGCUCGAAAGCGUGGGGAGCAAACAGG
rnacentral:rRNA from 1 species